AACGUCGAAUCUCCUGUUCCCUGGAUGCUGCCUGACCUGCUGUGCUGUUCCAGCAAUAAAGUUUCAACAGUUGGCAGACAUCCAACUCUAUUAAAAUUUUUUAGUGAAAGACAAAGGAUUUUUUAUUGUGAUUCACACUUUAUCUGACACUAAAAUAGUUUCUGCUCCAUUUUUUAGUGUAUAAUCAUAUCCAAAGAACUUCUUCCCAAAGCAAGCUAGACAACUUCUAGAACUUCACCCGCAUAGUUCUGUCUGAACUGUAGAGUGCCAGAAUUCAAGUCCAGAAUUAAAUGUCACAGGAAGGGUGACGAGAACUGAAGAAAAUAUAUUCCACCAAGUAAUGACAACAGUAAAACAUAAAAGAAGCCUGCAGCAUUUCACGGUUAAACGGAAUAAAUUAGUUGUGGGAAUUAACUGAAAAUAUUUAAGCUUCAUGAGGUACUGCGGUUGCCUAAAUUUCUGUUUGUUUUCCUUAAAGAGGAAUUUUCUCAAAAUGCGGACAAUACUUGAAAGAGAUGUCAAUGGAGGUUUGUAUGAUUAGUCCAUGUCAAUUGAUCAAAGUUGCUGCAUCAUGUCUGAAUGGAGUAGGUUUGCUCACCUAUGUUGCCACAUUACCUGUUGUUGACAUUCUUUGCAUUAAUGU